rnacentral:rRNA from 1 species
GACGAACGCUGGCGGCGUGCCUAAUACAUGCAAGUAGAACGCACAGUUUAUACCGUAGCUUGCUACACCAUAGACUGUGAGUUGCGAACGGGUGAGUAACGCGUAGGUAACCUGCCUGGUAGCGGGGGAUAACUAUUGGAAACGAUAGCUAAUACCGCAUAAUAUUAAUUAUUGCAUGAUAAUUGAUUGAAAGAUGCAACUGCAUCACUACCAGAUGGACCUGCGUUGUAUUAGCUAGUAGGUGAGGUAACGGCUCACCUAGGCGCCGAUACAUAGCCGACCUGAGAGGGUGAUCGGCCACACUGGGACUGAGACACGGCCCAGACUCCUACGGGAGGCAGCAGUAGGGAAUCUUCGGCAAUGGACGAAAGUCUGACCGAGCAACGCCGCGUGAGUGAAGAAGGUUUUCGGAUCGUAAAGCUCUGUUGUAAGAGAAGAACGGGUGUGAGAGUGGAAAGUUCACACUGUGACGGUAUCUUACCAGAAAGGGACGGCUAACUACGUG